rnacentral:rRNA from 1 species
ACAUGCAAGUCGAGCGAGGAGAUUCCCUUCGGGGGAAUGAACCUAGCGGCGGACGGGUGAGUAACACGUGGGCAACCUGCCUUAUAGAGGGGAAUAGCCUUCCGAAAGGAAGAUUAAUACCGCAUAACAUUACAUUUUCGCAUGAAGAAGUAAUUAAAGGAGUAAUCCGCUAUAAGAUGGGCCCGCGGCGCAUUAGCUAGUUGGUGAGGUAACGGCUCACCAAGGCGACGAUGCGUAGCCGACCUGAGAGGGUGAUCGGCCACAUUGGGACUGAGACACGGCCCAGACUCCUACGGGAGGCAGCAGUGGGGAAUAUUGCACAAUGGGGGAAACCCUGAUGCAGCAACGCCGCGUGAGUGAUGAAGGUCUUCGGAUCGUAAAGCUCUGUCUUCAGGGACGAUAAUGACGGUACCUGAGGAGGAAGCCACGGCUAACUACGUGCCAGCAGCCGCGGUAAUACGUAGGUGGCGAGCGUUGUCCGGAUUUACUGGGCGUAAAGGGAGCGUAGGCGGAUUUUUAAGUGAGAUGUGAAAUACCCGGGCUCAACUUGGGUGCUGCAUUUCAAACUGGAAGUCUAGAGUGCAGGAGAGGAGAGUGGAAUUCCUAGUGUAGCGGUGAAAUGCGUAGAGAUUAGGAAGAACACCAGUGGCGAAGGCGACUCUCUGGACUGUAACUGACGCUGAGGCUCGAAAGCGUGGGGAGCAAACAAGAUUAGAUACCCUGGUAGUCCACGCCGUAAAGGAUGUCGACUUGGAGGUUGUGCCUUUGAGGCGUGGCUUCCGGAGAUAACGAGUUAAGUCGACCGCUUGGGGAGUACGUCGGCAAGGUUAAAAUUCAAAUGAAUUGACGGGGGCCGGCACAAGCGGUGGAGCAUGUGGUUUAAUUGGAUGCAACGCGAAGACCCUUACCUACUCUUGACAUCCAGAGAAUUUUGCAGAGAUGCUUUGGUGCCUUCGGGAACUGUGAGACAGGUGCUGCAUGGCUGUCGUCAGCUCGUGUUGUGAAAUGUUGGGUUAAGUCCCGCAACGAGCGCAACCCUUAUCCUUUGUUGCCAGCGGUUCGGCCGGGAACUCAAAGGAGACUGCCAGUGAUAAACUGGAGGAAGGUGGGGAUGACGUCAAGUCAUCAUGGCCCUUAUGAGUAGGGUUACACACGUGUUACAAUGGCAUAUACAAAGAGA